rnacentral:rRNA from 1 species
UACAGAGGUCUCAAGCGUUGUUCGGAAUCAUUGGGCGUAAAGGGCGCGUAGGUGGCCCGGUCAGUCUUUGGUGAAAGCGCGGGGCUCAACCCUGCGUCGGCCAGGGAUACUGCCGCGGCUCGAGCACUGUAGAGGCAGGCGGAAUUCCGGGUGUAGCGGUGGAAUGCGUAGAGAUCCGGAAGAACACCGGUGGCGAAGGCAGGUCUCUGGGCCAUUACUGACACUGAGAAGCGAAAGCAUGGGGAGCGAACAGG